GACGAACGCUGGCGGCGUGCUUAACACAUGCCAGUCGAACGGAACGUCCUCUUUCGGGGGGUCCCCGAUUGGCGAACGGGUGAGUAACACGUGAGUAAUCUGCCCUUGACUUUGGGAUAACUUCUGGAAACUGGUGCUAAUACCGGAUAAGAGCUCCUGCUGCAUUGUGUGGGUUGGCAAGUUUCGGCGGUUGGGGUUGGACACGCGGCUUCUCAGCUUGUUGGUGGUGUAGGGGCUUACCAAGGCUUUGGCGGGGAGCCGGCCUGAGAGGGUGACCGGGCACAUUGGGACUGAGAGACAGCCCAGACUCCGACGGGAGGGAGCAGUGGGGAAGAGUGCUCUAUGGGUGGAAGCCUGAUGCAGAACCACCGAGGGCGGGAUGACGGCCUUCGGGUUGUAGUUCGAUUUCGCUCAUGACGAAGCUUUGUGUGACGGUAGUGGGUAAAGAAGCACCGGCUAACUACGUG
rnacentral:rRNA from 1 species